rnacentral:rRNA from 1 species
UACAGAGGGGGCGAGCGUUGUUCGGAAUUACUGGGCGUAAAGCGCACGUAGGCGGCUUUGUAAGUUAGAGGUGAAAGCCCAGGGCUCAACCCUGGAAUUGCCUUUAAGACUGCAUCGCUAGAAUUGUGGAGAGGUAAGUGGAAUUCCGAGUGUAGAGGUGAAAUUCGUAGAUAUUCGGAAGAACACCAGUGGCGAAGGCGACUUACUGGACACAUAUUGACGCUGAGGUGCGAAAGCGUGGGGAGCAAACAGG